AUACGGAGGGAGCUAGCGUUGUUCGGAAUUACUGGGCGUAAAGCGCACGUAGGCGGCUUUGUAAGUCAGGGGUGAAAGCCUGGAGCUCAACUCCAGAACUGCCUUUGAGACUGCAUCGCUUGAAUCCGGGAGAGGUGAGUGGAAUUCCGAGUGUAGAGGUGAAAUUCGUAGAUAUUCGGAAGAACACCAGUGGCGAAGGCGGCUCACUGGACCGGUAUUGACGCUGAGGUGCGAAAGCGUGGGGAGCAAACAGGAUUAGAAACCCCAGUAGUCC
rnacentral:rRNA from 1 species